UACGGGGGGGGCAAGCGUUGUUCGGAAUUACUGGGCGUAAAGGGCUUGUAGGUGGCCAACUAAGUCAGACGUGAAAUCCCUCGGCUUAACCGGGGAACUGCGUCUGAUACUGGAUGGCUGGAGUGUGGGAGAGGGAUGCGGAAUUCCCGGUGUAGCGGUGAAAUGCGCAGAUAUCGGGAAGAACACCCGUGGCGAAGGCGGCUUUCUGGGACGGUACUGACGCUGAGACGCGAAAGCGUGGGGAGCGAACAGG
rnacentral:rRNA from 1 species